rnacentral:rRNA from 1 species
GAUGAACGCUGGCGGCGUGCCUAAUACAUGCAAGUCGAGCGAACAGACGAGGAGCUUGCUCCUCUGACGUUAGCGGCGGACGGGUGAGUAACACGUGGAUAACCUACCUAUAAGACUGGGAUAACUUCGGGAAACCGGAGCUAAUACCGGAUAAUAUAUUGAACCGCAUGGUUCAAUAGUGAAAGACGGUUUUGCUGUCACUUAUAGAUGGAUCCGCGCCGCAUUAGCUAGUUGGUAAGGUAACGGCUUACCAAGGCAACGAUGCGUAGCCGACCUGAGAGGGUGGCCGGCACAUCAGAAACAGGAACCCGGCCCAGACCCUAAGGGGAGGAGGAAUAAGGCAACUUCCGCAAUGGGCGAAAGCCUGACGGAGCAACGCCGCGUGAGUGAUGAAGGUCUUCGGAUCGUAAAACUCUGUUAUUAGGGAAGAACAAAUGUGUAAGUAACUAUGCACGUCUUGACGGUACCUAAUCAGAAAGCCACGGCUAACUACGUG